UACGUAGGGACCAAGCGUUGUUCGGAUUUACUGGGCGUAAAGCGUGCGCAGGCGGUUGUGCAAGACAGAGGUGAAAUCCCCGGGCUUAACCUGGGAACUGCCUUUGUGACUGCGCGGCUAGAGUGUGUCAGAGGGGGUGGAAUUCCGAGUGUAGAGGUGAAAUUCGUAGAUAUCGGAAGAACACCAGUGGCGAAGGCGACUCACUGGACACAGUAUUGACGCUGAGGUGCGAAAGCGUGGGAGCAAACAGG
rnacentral:rRNA from 1 species